AUUGAACGCUGGCGGCGUGCCUAACACAUGCAAGUCGAGCGGUAACAGGCGUAGCAAUACGUGCUGACGAGCGGCGAACGGGUGAGCAAUGCUUCGGAAUCUGCCCAAUGAUGGGGAAUAACCAGUCGAAAGAUUGGCUAGUACCGCAUACGCCCUUCGGGGGAAAGCGGGGGUCGCAAGACCUCGCGUCGAUGGAUGAGCCGAAGUCGGAUUAGCUAGUUGGUAGGGUAACGGCCUACCAAGGCGACGAUCCGUAGCUGGUCUGAGAGGACGACCAGCCACACUGGGACUGAGACACGGCCCAGACUCCUACGGGAGGCAGCAGUGGGGAAUAUUGGACAAUGGGGGCAACCCUGAUCCAGCGACGCCGCGUGUGUGAAGAAGGCCUGCGGGUUGUAAAGCACUUUUAGUGGGGAUGAAAAGCACAUUGCUAAUACCAGUGUGUCUUGACCUAACCCAAAGAAAAAGCACCGGCUAACUCUGUGCCAGCCGCCGCAGUAA
rnacentral:rRNA from 1 species